CAGUCGCCGCGGUAAUGCGGAGGGUGCGAGCGUUAAUCGGAAUUACUGGGCGUAAAGCGUACGCAGGCGGUUUGUUAAGUCAGAUGUGAAAUCCCCGGGCUUAACCCGGGAACUGCAUUUGGAACUGGCAGGCUAGAGUCUCGUAGAGGGGGGUAGAAUUCCAGGUGUAGCGGUGAAAUGCGUAGAGAUCUGGAGGAAUACCGGUGGCGAAGGCGGCCCCCUGGACGAAGACUGACGCUCAGGUACGAAAGCGUGGGGAGCAAACAGGAUUAGAUACCCGUGUAGUCCCUGUCUCUUAUAC
rnacentral:rRNA from 1 species